rnacentral:rRNA from 1 species
AAGAUGAGCAUGCGUCCCAUUAGCUAGUUGGUGAGGUAACGGCUUACCAAGGCUACGAUGGGUAGGGGUCCUGAGAGGGAGAUCCCCCACACUGGUACUGAGACACGGACCAGACUCCUACGGGAGGCAGCAGUGAGGAAUAUUGGACAAUGGGCGCAAGCCUGAUCCAGCCAUGCCGCGUGCAGGAUGACGGCCCUAUGGAGUGUAAACUGCUUUUGUACGAGAAGAAACACUGCUUCGUGAAGCAGCUUGACGGUAUCGUAAGAAUAAGGAUCGGCUAACUCCGUGCCAGCAGCCGCGGUAAUACGGAGGAUCCAAGCGUUAUCCGGAAUCAUUGGGUUUAAAGGGUCCGUAGGCGGUUUAAUAAGUCAGUGGUGAAAGCCCAUCGCUCAACGGUGGAACGGCCAUUGAUACUGUUAGACUUGAAUUA